rnacentral:rRNA from 1 species
GAUGAACGCUGGCGGCGUGCCUAAUACAUGCAAGUCGAGCGAACGGACGAGAAGCUUGCUUCUCUGCUGUUAGCGGCGGACGGGUGAGUAACACGUGGAUAACCUACUUAUAAGACUGGGAUAACUUCGGGAAACCGUAGCUAAUACCGGAUAAUAUUUUGAACCGCAUGGUUCAAAAGUGAAAGACGGUCUUGCUGUCACUUAUAGAUGGAUCCGCGCUGCAUUAGCUAGUUGGUAAGGUAGCGGCUUACCAAGGCAACGAUGCAUAGCCGACCUGAGAGGGUGAUCGGCCACACUGGAACUGAGACACGGUCCAGACUCCUACGGGAGGCAGCAGUAGGGAAUCUUCCGCAAUGGGCGAAAGCCUGACGGAGCAACGCCGCGUGAGUGAUGAAGGUCUUCGGAUCGUAAAACUCUGUUAUUAGGGAAGAACAUAUGUGUAAGUAACUGUGCACAUCUUGACGGUACCUAAUCAGAAAGCCACGGCUAACUACGUG